rnacentral:rRNA from 1 species
AUUGAACGCUGGCGGCAUGCCUUACACAUGCAAGUCGAACGGCAGCACGGGAGCAAUCCUGGUGGCGAGUGGCGAACGGGUGAGUAAUAUAUCGGAACGUGCCCGGUCGUGGGGGAUAACGUAGCGAAAGCUACGCUAAUACCGCAUACGAUCUACGGAUGAAAGCGGGGGGAUCGCAAGACCUCGCGCGAUUGGAGCGGCCGAUAUCAGAUUAGGUAGUUGGUGAGGUAAAGGCGUCACCAAGCCGACGAUCUGUAGCUGGUCUGAGAGGACGACCAGCCACACUGGGACUGAGACACGGCCCAGAC